rnacentral:lncRNA from 1 species
AUGCCACCGAAGGGGAAAAGUAGUUCUGGAAAAGGAGGGAAAGGAGGUGCAGCCUCUGGGAGUGACAGUGCUGACAAGAAGUCUCAGGGUCCUAAAGGUGGUGGCAAUGCAGUAAAGGUCAGACACAGUCUGUGUGAAAAACAUGGGAAAAUCAUGGAAGCCAUGGAAAAGUUAAAGUCUGGGAUGAGAUUCAGUGAAGUGGCCACACAAUAUAGUGAAGAUAAAGCCAGACAAGGGGUGACUUGGGUUGGAUGACCAGAGGAUCCAUGGUGGGGCCAUUUCAAGAAGCAGCGUUUGCCUUGCCUGUAAGUGGGAUGGAUAAGCCUGUGUUUACAGACCCACCAGUUAAGACAAAAUUUGGAUAUCAUAUUAUUAUGGUUGAAGGGAGAAAAUAA